rnacentral:rRNA from 1 species
UACAGGGGGGGCAAGCGUUGUUCGGAAUUACUGGGCGUAAAGGGUCUGUAGGUGGCCAACUAAGUCAGACGUGAAAUCCCUCAGCUUAACUGGGGAACUGCGUCUGAUACUGGAUGGCUUGAGUGUGGGAGAGGAAUGCGGAAUUCCAGGUGUAGCGGUGAAAUGCGUAGAUAUCCGGAGGAACACCGGUGGCGAAGGCGGCUUCCUGGACCGACACUGACACUGAGGAGCGAAAGCCAGGGGAGCAAACGGG